ensembl:lncRNA
AGAACAUGUAAUAACGUGAUUUAAAUUAGUUUACAAAGUAAGAUUUAAAUAUUGGCUUUUAUGUUGUCUGGAUGAUAUCUACCCAGUUUUUUGGAUGUUCUGGACUGUUUUGUUCAACAACAGAAAUGAUCUAACCUCACUGAAAACUUUAUUAUGUUAGUUAAACAAAUGGAAAUGUAACAAAACAGAUGAAAUGAAUAAAAACAGACCUUGAAAAACUUACGUCCACCAAGACCCAGCAAAGAAGCCACAGACUAUCAGUCAGCUUAGGUCUUUAAAACUAACAUCAAAAUAAGUUAGGAAUUAAGCAAGGCAGCUAUCAAAUCAAGAACAAGCCAAUUAUCAGUCUCCUUUACUUGAACUCAGUUCUGGUUAUGAUAAUUUUGCCUUCUGGAACUGCAUCAAGCAGUGGUAUUACACAACAUACACCAAGAGAUCACUCUUGAUGAACAGAAUUUGAUAACUUUUCUUUCUCAGAUGCAGUAAUUUCAGAACCCCAUGGACAUUAAACACAAACCAUAAAACAAUAAUUAACUUGUAAAGUACAUUUACAGAGAGAAGACUGAGGAACUUGAAAGCAUCAUGUUAAGGUGCAAGAAGGCUACAGCAAGUUAUGAGUGAAGGGCAGGCUGCGCUGUCUCUUGGAUGCUGGGAGUGUUUAGGAACAGAGGGAUGGUUUGGCUAUGGACAUCAAUCUGUUACAGUAAGGGAUAUGGGAUCUGCCCUUGUUGUCACCCAGCUGCUCAUUACAAUUCCUCUACUUGAAGUCCUCUUGCAGUCUGAGUCACUGGGAGUCCCCGAGAGUUUCUGGAUGGAGUUGAAGCCUGGACCUCCUGGCCCUAACGUCAUGCAGCCUUGGUCCACAAGGGACAGGCCGUUGUGUUUCUCACCAUGGUUCACCACAGCCAACACACUGGAGCACCAUCGGUGCAAAAAGAGAUGGGCUGCUCAUCCCUGUAAAGGCCCCCAGCUGUACAUGAAAUUGAUCCAAAAACAUUUAGGGGAAGGGAACCAACACUUUUCUACUGGAAAUGUAUCAAAGGGCAAAAUCCAGCACCUUGUAUCAUCUGGCUUACUAAUGCUACAUGUUCUUUCCAGGUCUUCUGUCAAAAUAGAUGCAGGACAAAAGAGAUUAUUUUUGAUGCUCCUCUGCAUGCUCCAGCUGUGCAGAUAGAGAAGCUCCAGGAGUGGCCAAGGGAACAAAGCGUUGUGCUGUGAAUUGAUUUCUUCGAUGUCUCGUCACAUAUAAGAAUCCUCCCACUGGCUGAAGUGCUGACUUCCUUUCACACCCAGCAGCUGAAACAAGACUUCCCAACACUCACUUUCUUACCAAAUUCAGUUCUUUAAGGGAAUUCCAGUGAUUUCAGCAGUUACACUGGCAUACAACUGAUACAAAGAAGUGAUGAAUCAGACUCUGUAGAAGAAAUCCUAGCCCAUUGAAUUCAGCAGGAAUUCUGCCAUUGACCUCAAGAGAGAAACGUUUUUACUGAUAGUUCUGAGGAAGACAGUUUCACAAAGCUCGCAGUAAAGAAGAGUGUGUAUCACUUCCUCCCUUGUGACUAAUCCUGCUCCCUUUACUGACUUUGCUCUGAUAUCUGGGAAGCCUCAGAAAACCUAUCUGCCACCAGAACAGUGAGCAAUUCCUAAGGAAACAGAUGAAUCAACAAAGUUAGAACCACUUUCAUCCUUUCUACACAAACGAUAUGUUGUAUUCCCGUCUGAUAGACCUAUGAAGGGAAAGCAGCUCAGGAUGGCCAAUGGUUUCCCUCACCAGUGCAGUCACUAAAGAGAAUCAAGAAUCAGGAAGUCAGACUACACUCUGCAAUUGCUUCUUCAAACCUUAAAAAUCAAGGAGACAUGGAGCGAAUGACUGUAUUGGGUUUGAGUCAAUGGAGAAUUACGUUCUGCUGCAUCUGGAGAGGAUAAGAAUUUGCAGGAAUCGUGGUCAUCUUGUAAGCUCCAAGGAGAAACCCUCACUUUCCUGGGAUGACGGAGAGAAGGAAUCACAGUUCCACCACAGCAAAUAAGUGUCAUCACUUUCCUUUCAGAUCCAAGGAAGUAUUUGGGUUUUUUUUUAAAGAAGCAAAAGAAGAACCCUCUUCUCUAGCAAGCAACAACAAAGACAAGGCCAGGCCCUGGUGUAUUGGAUGAAGAAAGAAGCCCUUCCUCUGGACAAGAUGUCUACUAGACCCAGCUGAGCAUUGUGAAAGAGUUAGUUCCUCACCUCUCUAAGCAAUUGCCUCUAAGGGUGGGAAUAUAAACUACAGUCUUGAUCACUUUAAUGUAGUGGUCAGCAUAAUUUGUUUUUUUAAGGUACAAACAUUUUAUCUUGUUGCCUGACUUCAGAAAAAGUAACAAAUGAGUAGGUAAAUGCACAGCUGUUUUUCAGGGAAUCAUAGCUCUGAUCUCAUCACUGGCAAAGGCUUGCUGCAGUAAAUCUGCAAAAGUGACUGAAAACCCCUCAGAAUCUGAGCACCAGGGCUUGACUGGGCUUUGGACAUAGAUGUUAAAUGAUUUUCUGCCAGUCUAGCCGACGUGGUCAUCACAAUUUCUUCUGACUGUCUUGACACCUCUUCUUGCUCCUAUGACUUGAAUACAGGUCAGGAGGACUUUCCAAUAUGUGGUAUUACGCCUAAACAGCUUUUCUGGAGCAGCAGUUUUGGAUCAGCAUUCCUGGAUAAUCCCACGAGUGGACAAUUCUGCUGUGCAAUAUUAAUAUCUACAUGUGGAAUUAAACAGAAAUAGUUGCUGUGUUUAGUUUCCUACCUGCAUUUGUGCCAAACUAAUUUUAAAGUGUAAAUGGUCCCUAAGAGAUUACAUAUGCACCCAGAGGAGGAAAUGCAUUCUGCUACUAUAAGGCUGAAUUUGUACAAUUUAUGGAGCAUGUCAUAUAAAUGGAAUGGACAGAAAUCUGUUACUAAAUUGGAAUUGAAGAACAUGAUUGAGUGUAUCAGUGAAUGACUAAGGCCUUUAGACCUUAAAAUUGGUUUGAGUGUUCAUAGCUAUAAGCAUCCAUGAGAUCUCCCAGCAACUGGAUUGUAUAUUUGCAUAUAUAGCCUCUUCCUCUGAGUUAAAAUUUGGAUUUUUUUUUUUCUGAUAUAUAUAAACAUUAUUCUGCCUCUCAGGCUUGACUUAAGUUACUGAAUAAAUUAGGAGUGAAAGACAACUGUGGAAAUUACAGCUAGAAAGGCAACUGAUUUAUUUUUUAAAUGCUUCUGCACAAUUUAAAUUUGAUUUGUGGUAAAUGAGACACUUGAGCAGAUGAAUUUGAAGGAGGCAUAACUUUCUCAGGCUUGCUUAUAUUUUCGGAUAGACUUACUGGAAAAGUUUUAGUUCAUCACUCUUCCAGGAUCUUGAAAUCUGACCAAGAAACCUUCCAAAGUAAUAUGAAGUUCAUGCUAAAACAAUGUUAUCAGAUAGGAAAAGUUAAUGCUACUGUUAUCUACAGGUCAGCUAACGUGUAAGUUCUCACAGAAGUUCUCUAGCAUAAUAGAUUUGCUUCCUUACUAUGGAAAUCAUGCUAUUGCUACUAUUAACAGAAACAAAAUCAGAUUCUGGCUCAACUAUUUCUAUUUAAUAAAGAAAAAAACCUGUUUAGAGCUACAGAAUAAGUAACAGCAUAUCAACUGUAUUGGUUCUUUUCCUCUGUGAACUAUGUCGAAAAAAAAAAAACCCCAACAAAUUAUUCGCUAAGACUAUUUUGUUUUCUUAGUUUGCUUGCUACACUGAAUUUUGCAAUUAUUAUUUAUAUGUCAUAUAGAGCUUCUCUGAAGUAUUUGAGUUGUGUUGAUAGCAUUUGUGUUUACAGAAUAAAAACACUUAUUUUUACACACA